CCGAAAUCACGGAAUAUCCGUUAAUGUCAAAGGACAUAAACAAGACUGUGUUUAUAAAGAUUGCCAGUGCAAUUUAUGUAAGAAUACUGAAGAAGAAAGACGUCAGACGGCUGCAAGAAUAGCAAUAUUUAGAGAAAGCAAACGCUUAUUCGAAUCAGAUGACGAAUUGCAAGAGCCACACAUUAAAAAAAAGGAAAAAAUGCCAAAACAAAAUGGAAAAAGACAAUCUUCUUACAGCCAAUCCACUCACGAAGUUGUAGCUGAUUUACAAUCCAAAAUCAUCCAAAAUGGACAAAAUUCAAAACCAAUUCCCUCAAAUAUCCAGCUGCUCCUAAAAAUAUUUCCAAACAUUUUUCCUGAUAGACUCGAAAUGUUCCUUCAACGUAACAAUGGCGACCUCAUGUAUACCAUCAAGUACAUCGACGUUCUAAUGAAAGAUGCUGCAUUAAUUCCACAACCAUCAAGAAUCUUUCCACACACCAAUACCCGUUCUUUUAACAACACGCACCUCUAUCAAAGGCAUCCAACACAACCAACAUACCCGGUUUUCCCACCUCUUCACAACAUCUAUUUCACCCCAUUUCCCCUGCGAGCCCCUACAUUUACUCGUACAAGAGUUAUCACUUCCAUCCACGACGA